CGGCGCCUACGGGAGGCAGCAGUGAGGAAUAUUGGUCAAUGGUCGGGAGACUGAACCAGCCAAGCCGCGUGAGGGAGGAAGGAACAGAGUAUCGUAAACCUCUUUUGUCAGGGAACAAAGGCGGGGACGUGUCCCCGGAUGAGUGUACCUGAAGAAAAAGCAUCGGCUAACUCCGUGCCAGCAGCCGCGGUAAUACGGAGGAUGCGAGCGUUAUCCGGAUUUAUUGGGUUUAAAGGGUGCGCAGGCGGUCUGUUAAGUCAGCGGUCCAAGCCCGGGGCUCAACCCCGGCCCGCCGAUGAAACUGG
rnacentral:rRNA from 1 species